rnacentral:rRNA from 1 species
ACGAAUACCGAAGAAUGUUAUCACGGGAGACACACGGCGGGUGCUAACGUCCGUCGUGAAGAGGGAAACAACCCAGACCGCCAGCUAAGGUCCCAAAGUCAUGGUUAAGUGGGAAACGAUGUGGGAAGGCACAGACAGCCAGGAUGUUGGCUUAGAAGCAGCCAUCAUUUAAAGAAAGCGUAAUAGCUCACUGGUCGAGUCGGCCUGCGCGGAAGAUGUAACGGGGCUAAACCAUGCACCGAAGCUGCGGCAG